UACAGAGGUCUCAAGCGUUGUUCGGAUUCAUUGGGCGUAAAGGGUGCGUAGGCGGCGCGGUAAGUCGGGUGUGAAAUCUCGGAGCUUAACUCCGAAACUGCAUUCGAUACUGCCGUGCUUGAGGACUGGAGAGGAGACUGGAAUUUACGGUGUAGCGGUGAAAUGCGUAGAUAUCGUAAGGAAGACCAGUGGCGAAGGCAGCUCUCUGGGACGGUACUGACGCUGAGACGCGAAAGCGUGGGGAGCGAACAGG
rnacentral:rRNA from 1 species